UAGGUUACGUCAAGACCCAAGGUUAUUAACCUUGGGCUUUUCUUCUCUACUGAAAGUGCUUUACAACCCUCGGGCCUUCUUCACACACGCGGUAUUGCUGGAUCAGGGUUGCCCCCAUUGUCCAAUAUUCCCC
rnacentral:rRNA from 1 species